rnacentral:rRNA from 1 species
CCUACGGGCGGCUGCAGUGGGGAAUAUUGGGCAAUGGGCGCAAGCCUGACCCAGCAACGCCGCGUGAAGGAAGAAGGCUUUCGGGUUGUAAACUUCUUUUGUCAGGGAAGAGUAGAAGACGGUACCUGACGAAUAAGCCACGGCUAACUACGUGCCAGCAGCCGCGGUAAUACGUAGGUGGCAAGCGUUGUCCGGAUUUCCUGGGUGUAAAGGGCGUGUAGCCGGGUUGACAAGUCAGAUGUGAAAUCCUGCGGCUUAACCGCAGAACUGCAUUUGAAACUGUUGAUCUUGAGUACAGGAGAGGCAGACGGAAUUCCUAGUGUAGCGGUGAAAUGCGUAGAUAUUAGGAGGAACACCAGUGGCGAAGGUGGUCUGCUGGACAGCAACUGACGGUGAGGCGCGAAAGCGUGGGGAGCAAACAGGAUUAGAUACCCCAGUAGUC